rnacentral:pre_miRNA from 1 species
ACUGGAAUUGUUGGGUCAUAUGGUAUCAUUAUCCUUAACUCUUUGAAGAAGUUCCAAACUGUUUUCCAAAGCAACUAUACCAUAUUAUAUUCCUACCAGCAAU